GCAGACGUUCCCUCCCCGCCUACUCCAAGGCACAGACCUGAAAUCUUCUGGGAACCUGGCGGGUCGCGACAAGGGGCCAAGACUCACCUUCGGGGCACCGGCAAGCUACGGAACAGGUGGCGGGGCUGCAGCACCCCAAUGACCGAUCAACCGCAAAGGCCGGAAAUGCGUCAGCCGUUCUGAGCCCACUGGCUGAAGCCAGGCAACUCUUUCCUUUCUAGGAAUUCCAGAGGUGGCUGCUGCUUGGUGACUCCCUUAUUGCAAACCCCGGGGCCAAAAAUCCCAGUCCCACUGGGUGCGAGGCGGAGAAAUCCGGCGAGGCAUUUCUAUGGGGAGCGGCCCCCAGCAUUUAGGAGUUAGAUGGUCAUCGAGACCCAAAACAUUAGAGCCGGAAGGUGUUAGGAAGAUAUAAACGUAGAGAGCGAGUAACAGGAGGCAAUUCCACGGCCAAACAGGUUUAUUUACAGGAAAAGCCUGCGAAGAGUUCCAGUUAGGAAUCUGGCUGAGAUCCUGAUCGCUUACAAGCUGAGGCUUUUAUAAUAAAGUUUCUGUUGGGGAGGGGUUGGGGAAGUGCUGGCUAGUUGGAACUGUUUGGACACUUUCCAACUGGGGACAGAUGUGGUUAGGGCCGUUAGGCUCUGUUGCGGUUAGAGCUGUUAUGCUCUGUUGAAGCUAUGGACGGGGUUGACAUUUGCUUUGUUUCUUGAGAACACAGUCAUCAAGGUUGUAAAAUGGCAUCACUAUUGUUAGUCCUCACAGAAGGGACUUCAUACUUUUUCUGUCUCUAAUACUUACCUAUUCUUCCCCGAGUCUGUCCACUUCCUCUGGUCUCUUUGACAUCACAAAGGAGAGAUGGUAAUGGUGGGGACGAGAAUACAGAGUUGUUUUUGUUGUGGUUUUGUUAUUUUGUGUUUUACACUCAAACCUCUGUCUUCUGGAAUCCCAAAGUCUAGAAGAAGAGCGUGUAAACAAGUAACUGCGUAAAACAGACGUGCAUGUGAAAUGAAGUAAAAUAAAAUAAGUGCUUGUAAAUCGA
rnacentral:lncRNA from 1 species